rnacentral:lncRNA from 1 species
CUUCACCCAGGUUUUUCUUUAUGUCCUCCAGAGAAAUCAUUCAUCUCCAAACGGAAAUGAAGGAAACAUCACCAUAUGCCAGGAUUUUGGGAGAGAAAAGGAGCUGGACGUUGGGACAAAUUGCUAUUCAUAUUGUCCACUAAAUGGGAGGAAUUGUGGUCAGGAUCCAGGGUACCUGAUCUCUGGAUGCUGGCCCUCUUCUUCCCCAUCCUGAGAAGCUACAGUUGCAGACAAAAGGAAUCAGAAUAAGAAGAUGCCUCCAAGCUGCCAGAACAAAGAGAAACUAUACUUAUUAAGUACAGUGGGAGUUUUAUUAUCAGGAGGGCUCUGAUCAAUCAAGUUUUCCUAAUUCAC